AUGGCACAUUUCAUUCCUUGCAACAAGAUAGACGAUGCUUCACAUGCCGCUAAUCUCUUUUUUAGGGAAAUCUUGCGACUCCAUGGAGUACCAAAGACAAUUGUCUCCGACCGCGACAUCAAAUUCUUGAGUUACUUUUGGAAGACGCUAUGCGCCAAGCUCGGAAUCAAGCUCUUGUUCUCAUCCGCAUACCAUCCUCAAACAGACGGCCAAACGGAGGUGAAGAACCGUACGCUCUCCACUCUACUUCACGUGUUGAUGAAGAAGAACAUCAAGGAGUGGGAGGUGUGUCUACCCAUCACCGAGUACACCUACAACCGUGCAAGACAUUCGACGACCGGCAAGUCCCCCUUCGAGGUCGUCUACGGUUUCAUCCCGUUGUCCCCAUUGGACAUUCUACCUCUUCCACUACAAGAGCGCACCAACAUGGAUGCAAGUGCACGCGCAAGCUACAUCAAGAAGAUGCAUGAAGAUACAAGGCACACCAUCGAACGCCAAGUACAACGACUUGCGACCAAGCUCAACAUCAACAAGCAACCCAUGAUAUUCGACAUCGAAGAUCUCGUGUGGCUACACCUUCGCAAGGACCGCUUCCCCAGCGAACGCAAGUCCAAACUUAUACCUCGAGCCGAUGGACACUUCAAGGUGCUAGCACGCUACAACAGCAAUGCUUACAAGAUAGAUCUCCAAUGCGAAAAGUACAACGUGAGCGACAUCUUCAACGUCACCAAUCUCUCCCCGUACCAUGGUGAUGAGGAUUUCGAUCCGAGGUCGGAUCUUUUACAAGGGAGGGGGGAGAUGAUGUGGAGCAUCCUACAGUCAUCCCCAUGGACCUAUCAUCGUCUCACCAAGCACCAAGAGGACCCAUGA
rnacentral:rRNA from 1 species